CCUACGGGUGACUGCAGUGGGGAAUAUUGCACAAUGGGGGAAACCCUGAUGCAGCGACACCGCGUGCGUGAAGAAGUAUUUCGGAACGUAAAGCUCUAUCAGCAGGGAAGAAAAUGACGUUACCUGACUAAGAAUGCCCGGCUAACUCCGUGCCAGCAGCCGCGGCAAUACGUAGGGGGCAGGGGUGAUCCGGAUUUAAUGGGUGUAAAGGGAGCGUAGACGGCAGCGCAAGUCUGGAGUGAAAUCCCAUGGCUUAACCAUGGAACUGCUUUGGAAACUGUGCAGCUAGAGAGCAGAAGGGGUAAGCGGAAUUCCUAGUGUAGCGGUGAAAUGCGUAGAUAUUAGGCGGAACACCAGUGGCGAAGGCGGCUUACUGGACUGUAACUGACGUUGAGGCUCGAAAGCGUGGGGAGCAAACAGGAUUAGAUACCCCGGUAGUC
rnacentral:rRNA from 1 species